ACACACACACACACACACACACACACACACACACACACUGCAGAGAUGUAGUGUAGCUCGCUGGGACUUCCUGGCCAGACGCCUGUCACUUUUACGGAGGAGCGUUUGUUUAAUAUUUCCACAAAAUGGGAAGAGCCGCCGGUCAUUACCCGGAGGAGGACGCCGUGUGCCCGAGUGUGGUGUAAUGCGAGCCGGGAAGAGUUACAUUUAUGUCCGGGGACGGUGUUAUACGGGACUAGCUAGCAGCUAGCAGCUAGCGACUCUUCUGGCUGCUUGCAACGUAUUUGUUUGUUUCGGCAAGGAUGCUACGAUGGAUACGACAGCAGCUGGGCUUUGACCCCCCCCAUCAAAGUGACACCAGGACAAUUUACGUUGCCAACCGCUUUCCCCAGCAUGGCCACUACAUACCUCAACGUUUUGCUGAUAACAGAAUUAUUUCAUCCAAGUAUACCAUUUGGAAUUUUGUCCCCAAGAAUUUGUUCGAACAGUUCAGAAGGAUAGCCAACUUUUAUUUUCUUAUCAUCUUCCUUGUACAGUUGAUGAUAGAUACCCCGACUUCCCCAGUCACCAGCGGUCUGCCUCUUUUCUUUGUCAUCACAGUGACUGCCAUUAAACAGGGCUAUGAGGACUGGCUUAGGCACAAGGCUGACAACGAGGUCAACGGUGCUCCCGUGUUUGUUGUUCGAAGUGGAAGCCUGGUCCAGACAAGAUCCAAAAACAUCAGAGUGGGGGAUAUUGUCCGUGUGGCUAAAGAUGAAACAUUUCCAGCUGACCUGGUGUUGCUGUCAUCAGAGCGUUCAGAUGGUACCUGUCACAUUACCACUGCCAGCCUCGAUGGGGAGACCAAUCUCAAGACUCACUAUUCUGUGGCAGAGACAGCUGUAUGCCAGUCUGUGACCCAACUGGAGGCCUUGCAGGCUGUAGUUGAGUGUCAGCAACCAGAAGCUGACCUUUACAGGUUUGUUGGCCGAAUAACAGUGACUCAUCAUGGGGAGGAGACAGUGAGACCGCUCGGUCCAGAAAACCUGUUGCUGCGAGGGGCCAGGUUGAAAAAUACCAAAGAAAUCUUUGGUGUUGCAGUUUAUACAGGAAUGGAGUCCAAAAUGGCCCUCAACUAUAAGUGCAAGUCUCAGAAACGCUCUGCAGUAGAGAAGUCAAUGAAUACUUUCCUCAUCAUCUAUUUGGGCAUCCUGCUGUUCGAGGCCAUCCUCAGCACCAUUCUGAAGUAUGCCUGGCAGGCCGAGGACAAAUGGGACGAGCCGUUCUACAACCAAAAGACGGAACAGGAGAAAAACAGCAGCCCGAUCUUGAAAUUCAUCUCUGACUUCUUGGCAUUCCUGGUCCUCUACAAUUUUAUCAUCCCCAUCUCACUCUAUGUUACUGUGGAGAUGCAGAAGUUCCUGGGCUCCUUUUUCAUAGGCUGGGAUAUGGACCUUUACCACGAGGAGAGUGACCAGAAAGCUCAAGUCAACACCUCAGACCUCAAUGAGGAACUUGGCCAGGUCGAGUAUGUGUUUACCGACAAGACGGGUACACUAACCGAAAAUGAAAUGCAAUUCCGGGAAUGUUCCAUCAAUGGAAACAAAUAUCGGGAAGUUAAUGGCAAACUGGUGCCAGAGGGACUGAGUGAAGAUUCACCAGAUGGCUCUACUCCUAACUUGGUUGGAGAGGAAUUGUUAUUCCUCAAAGCGGUUUCACUGUGUCACACAGUUCAGAUCAGCUACGACCAGCCAGACUGCCUGUCUGGGACAGGAGACCCGUUCUCCCAUGUUAAUGGCUUUUCGUCUAACGAAAUGGAAUACUAUGCUUCUUCACCCGAUGAAAAAGCAUUAGUUGAGGCAAUGAAAAGAAUUGGAGUGGCCUUUACUGGUGUGAGUGGUGAGACAAUGGAAAUCAAAACAUUUGGCAAACCAGAAAAGUACAAACUGCUCCAUGUGUUGGAGUUUGAUGCAGAUCGCAGGAGAAUGAGUGUCAUUCUGCAGAGCCCUUCUGGUGGCCAAGUGCUGUUUACUAAGGGAGCAGAGUCCUCCAUUUUUCCUUUCACCACCAGUGGGGAAAUAGAAAAGACAAGACUUCAUGUCGAUGAGUUUGCCUUGAGAGGGUUGCGGACCCUGGUGGUAGCAUGCCGUCAUUUCAGCCCAGAGGAGUAUAUGGAGGUGGACAGGCAUCUGAACAGCGCUCGCACUGCACUGCAGCAGAGGGAAGAGCGGCUGCAAGAGGCCUUCAGCUUCAUCGAGCGGGACCUGCAUCUCCUGGGAGCAACAGGGGUGGAAGACAAGCUACAAGAAAAAGUUCAAGAGACAAUUGAGGCUCUGCGUCUGGCAGGAAUCAAAGUUUGGGUGCUGACAGGCGACAAACACGAGACUGCGGUCAGCGUCAGUCUGUCUUGUGGUCACUUCCACAGAAACAUGAACACCCUGGAGCUCCUUCAGCAACGUUCGGACAAUGAGUGUGCUGAGCAACUCCGUAGGCUGGCGAGAAGGAUAAAAGAGGACCAUGUCAUACAGCAUGGAUUGGUUGUGGAUGGCGCCAGUUUAUCCUUAGCAUUGAGGGAACAUGAGAAGCUCUUCAUGGAAGUUUGUAAAAACUGCUCAGCCGUGCUUUGCUGCCGCAUGGCCCCACUGCAGAAAGCAAAGGUGGUGCGUCUUUUAAAAACCUCUCCAGAGAAACCAAUCACCUUAGCUGUUGGGGACGGCGCCAAUGAUGUCAGUAUGAUUCAGGAAGCCCACAUUGGCAUAGGAAUUAUGGGAAAGGAAGGGCGCCAGGCCGUGAGAAACAGUGACUAUGCAAUUGCCAGAUUCAGGUUUCUGGCCAAACUACUGUUGGUCCACGGUCACUUCUACUACAUUCGAAUAUCCACACUUGUACAAUACUUUUUCUAUAAAAAUGUGUGUUUUAUCACACCCCAGUUUUUAUACCAGUUCUUCUGUCUGUUUUCGCAACAAACUCUGUAUGACAGUGUUUAUCUGACACUGUACAACAUCUGCUUUACCUCACUGCCCAUCCUGGUGUACAGUCUGUUUGAACAGCUCGUUCAUCCACAUGUCCUGCAGACUAAACCGGUCCUGUACCGAGACAUCAGCAGGAACUCGCUCUUGUCUUUCCGAACGUUCCUCUAUUGGACUAUCUUGGGCUUCUGUCAUGCUUUCGUCUUCUUCUUUGGAUCCUACAUACUGAUGGGAGAAGACACCACACUUAUGGGCAACGGACAGAUCUUGCGAGCUAACAGGCAGCUGAUGUUUGGAAACUGGACCUUUGGAACACUGGUCUUCACAGUUAUGGUCAUAACUGUCACUUUAAAACUUGCAUUAGAGACUCAUUUCUGGACAUGGAUGAACCAUUUUGUGACGUGGGGGUCAAUAGCCUUCUAUUUCAUCUUCUCUCUCUUCUACGGAGGCAUUAUCUGGCCCUUCCUCCACACCCAGGAUAUGUAUUUUGUUUUUGUUCAGUUACUGUCCAGUGGCUCCGCAUGGUUUGCCAUCAUCAUCAUUAUCAUUACCUGCCUCUUUCCUGACGUGGUGAAGAAGGUCUUCUACCGACAUCUGCGACCCACCAGCACACAGAAGAGUCAGAUGUAUUCCAACCAUGUGGCAAUAGGUGAUGACUUCAUCGCUCUUCAACCUCUGUCCAGAGCCAAGAAUCAGCUGGGCAAAAUUAGCCUUUAUCAGCCCCCCAGGCCCAGACCCUCAGCUGCGUGGAGUCCUUGUGCUGCUACCAACAUGGGCAGAGCGGCUGUUCCCGCCUGGGCCACCUCCUGGAGCAAAUGACCGGGCCGUGCUCCACCACUGGCGACCAUUCCCACGCAUCCAGCCGCAACAACAGGUCCUGGAGUGACCCCGACAACUUCUACUCCAACGAUCGCAGCAUUCUCACGCUGUCUCCCAUCGACUCCGCCCACUGCUGACGCCUCCUUACAUCCCUCCAUCCCACCAUCCCUCCACGCCUCCAGCCCUCCCUCCUUCAACCCUCCAUCCCGCCAUCCCUCCAGCCUCUGCCCUCCACCCCACCAUCCCUCCAUCACUCCUCCCUCCAUCCCUCCACUCUUCCAGCCUCUGCCCUCCAUCUUGCCAUCCCUCCAACCUUCCAUCCCUCCAAUCUGCCAUCCCUCCACUCUCCGCCCUCCACCCCACCAUCCUUCCAUCAGUCCAGCCUCCGCCCUCCAUCCCUCCACUCUUCCAGCCUCUGCCCUCCAUCCCGCCAUCCCUCCAAUCUGCCCUCCCUCCAACCUUCCAUCCCUCCAUCUUGCCAUCCUUCCAAUCUGCCCUCCCUCCAACCUUCCAUCCCUCCAUCUUGCCAUCCCUCCAAUCUGCCCUCCCUCCACUCUCCACCCUCCACGCCACCAUCCUUCCAUCAGUCCAGCCUCCGCCCUCCAUCCCUCCAAUCUGCCCUCCCUCCAUCCCUACACCCUCCAGCCCACCAUCCCUCUGCCCUCCAUCCCUUCCCUAUCCAUCCCUCCACCCCGCCAUCCCUCCACCCUGCCACCCCUCCACCCCACCAUCCCUCUGCCCUCCAUCCCUUCGCUAUCCAUCCCUCCACCCUGCCACCCCUCCACCCCACCAUCCCUCUGCCCUCCAUCCCUUCGCUAUCCACCCCUCCACCCCUCUGCCCUCCAUCCCUUCGCUAUCAUCCCUCCACCCCGCCAUCCAUCCAUCCAUCCCUCCACCCCGCCAUCCCUCCACCCUGCCACCCCUCCACCCCACCAUCCCUCUGCCCUCCAUCCCUUCGCUAUCCAUCCCUCCACCCCACCAUCCAUCCAUCCAUCCCUCCACCCCGCCACCCCACCAUCCCUCUGCCCUCCAUCCCUUCGCUAUCCAUCCCUCCACCCUGCCAUCCACCCCGCCAUCCCUCCACCCCACCAUCCCUCUGCCCUCCAUCCCUUCGCCAUCCAUCUCUCCACCCCUCCAUCAAUCCGCCAUCCACCCUGCCACCCCGCCAUCCAUCCAUUACUCCACCCCACCAUCCCUCUGCCCUCCAUUCCCUCGCCAUCCACCCCUCCACCCCUCCAUCCCUCCACCCCUCCAUCCCUCCACCCCUUCGCCCUCCAUCCCUCUGCCAUCCACCCCUCCAUCCCUCCACGUUGCCAUCUUUCCAUCCCUCCCCCCCUCCACCCCUCAUGCCAUCUUGCAAGCUGGCUGGCUGGCUUCGAACCCGCACACAAAUAGACUCAACUGGAGCGGCCGUCUCCUGAAGCCAAAGGAGGUGGAUGUUGAAGCUGGAAGAGAAGCUUCUAGAAGCGAGCGUCAGGAGAAAAAAAACAUUUCUGCCGCUCCAAAAUGCACUUUUGAUGUCUGCUUGCUCCCGGCAGCAUCCUGCAGUUCCGUCAGCGUCCACCAGUCCGAUACCAAAGACGAUGACUUUCUUCGUGCCUGCUCGCACACGCCGAUCAUGUCCAGACUGUUCUGAACUCCCUUUUCCCGCGGCGCCCCGAGUCUGUUGAUAAAGCCAUAGAUUUUUGUUUUUGGGAGGACUUUUCAGGAAGUUUGAGUACGGUUAAAAGCUGCUGGUUGUCCUUUUCCCUUUCUUGCCUUCCUGAGUGGCGAGUGAAGGCGUUAAAACACGCGUGCGGACUUUGAAUGUUUCAUCAGCUCCGAUGGCCAUGUCACCUGUCGUCAUGGCGACUGACAGGCUGACACGCAACCCUGCGUUUUUUUAAGCCUCGACGUCAACGAAGCGAGGCCUCGGUGGGGGGGCUCCCGUCGCUAUGGUUACGCCUUAACGUCGCGCGAAGUCUUCCCGUCUGUCGUGUUCUUUGUUUGAUGAACAAUAGUUAUUAUAAUUAUGAUAAAUAAUAGUUAUAUAAUUAGGACUAUUUUGUGUGCGCCUUCAGCCACGCUGACCAACAUGAAAAGUGAUGUCAUCCAUGUAAACACAAACAGCGUACAAAAAUAAUACUCAGAUGACAGCUGGGUGUUGUUGACACGAGCGUUAAUGUUUUAAUGCUGCGUCACGUAGGGGACAUUUUUUUGCACUUAAAACUCAACUCUUAAUAUCUUUUCAACGGUUUUAUUUAUUUCUAAAUUGCUGCGGUUAUUUCACAACCUGAAUGUGGUUUUUUGUUUUGUCGAGAUCAGCAAGAUCCCAAAAAGCCUAUUGAAUAUUUUUAGGACCUAAUUAGAUGGAAUGAAUAUUUCAUGUCCUCUGAGGUUGUCACUCCCCCUAAAAGUGGUACUUUUGUUAUGUCUGCUUGAAACAUGCACAAAUAUUUACUUGAACAGCUUUUCUAUUUGUAUAAAAGCUCAUUCCUGUUAUGCUUUAAACGGAGCUCCUUUUGUGUCAGUGAUCCAGAAACACUUCCUUUGUCGCCGUGCAGCGUUUGUGAUUCAAUUAAAGCGGCAGGAAAUGGAAUUAUGGCUAAAAUUCAAGUCAGGUGUCGUGCAUUUGAACACAGCUGAUGUGACUCGGUGUUUCUGCGACAUAACACGAGCGUGGCGCGGCGUGGCUUCACUCCUUCCUCCUGUCAUCGUCGCUCCUCAGCUGUCUUCCUUCCUUCUGUCUGUAAAAACUCAAGCUGCUGUUUAUGAAAUGUUCUAUUUAUGAAAUAAAUACAUUUAUAAGAAGCA